UACGAAGGGGGCUAGCGUUGCUCGGAAUCACUGGGCGUAAAGGGUGCGUAGGCGGGUCUUUAAGUCAGGGGUGAAAUCCUGGAGCUCAACUCCAGAACCGCCUUUGAUACUGAAGAUCUUGAGUUCGGGAGAGGUGAGUGGAACUGCGAGUGUAGAGGUGAAAUUCGUAGAUAUUCGCAAGAACACCAGUGGCGAAGGCGGCUCACUGGCCCGGUACUGACGCUGAGGUGCGAAAGCGUGGGGAGCAAACAGG
rnacentral:rRNA from 1 species